rnacentral:rRNA from 1 species
AUUGAACGCUGGCGGUAUGCUUAACACAUGCAAGUCGAACGGCAGCACAGUAUGUAGCAAUACAUAUGGGUGGCGAGUGGCGGACGGGUGAGUAACGCGUAGGAAUCUACCCUAAAGCGGGGGACAACCCGAGGAAACUCGGGCCGAUACCGCCUAAUCCCGAAAGAGUAAAGCUGGGGCAACCUGGCACGUUAGGAGGCGCCGGCGUCCGAUUAGCUAGUUGGUGAGGUAAAGGCUCACCAAGGCGAUGAUCGGUAGCUGGUCUGAGAGGAUGAUCAGCCACACUGGGACUGAGACACGGCCCAGACUCCUACGGGAGGCAGCAGUGGGGAAUAUUGGACAAUGGGGGCAACCCUGAUCCAGCAAUACCGCGUGUGUGAAGAAGGCCUUAGGGUUGUAAAGCACUUUAGUUGGGGAAGAAGGAAAGUUGUUUAAGAGAUGAUUAUUUUGACGGUACCCAAAGAAUAAGCACCGGCUAACUCUGUGCCAGCCGCCGCGGUAA